CACUCCUUGAUGGUUUGCGCGAUGCGUUUUACGUAAAGAAUCACGGACUCGAUGCAGCCAAUCACUGCUGAGAGCGCGUUGAUCGACACAACAGAAAAUGUCGGAAAGCAGCGCGGAAAUCACAUUCAAAAAGGAGACGGUAAGCAAACUCCUGUCAAGCUUCUUCAAGGAGGAGAAAACUAAAGUCGGUGCCGAUGCUGUCCUCCUUAUGGCAGAGAUGCUACAUGUGUUUGUUCAAGCUGUUGGAUUUCUAGUAUGACUUCAGGCCAGAAGAUGGCGCCAGAGAGCUAUCCAGUCCUCCAUUCAGAAUUCGAGAGAUUGACCAACUCUUGGAGGACAAUGGAAGUAAAGAAAAAGGCUUCUGUUUUGUUUGUAAAAGUAAAGAAGCACUUUAUGUACUUACAUUGCCCUCCAAGAGUGGCUGAAUCUCCUCUCUACUUUUUAAUUCAUGCACCUUGGUUGGAGAGAGGAAGGGGCAGUGCUCCCUUCCCCCAGUCCUCCAUUCAGCCCAUGUAGGAUAUUAUAUUCUAAUUAGUCCUUUGAGUUACAUUGCACACGGUCUCUAAUGAACGCUGUACAUUUUGUUCUGUGGUUUUGCCUCAGUUUGUUGUUUGAAACGAUUUGAAACCAUUGUUAACUAAUAAAAGUUGUGUGCUUUUGUUUAUUACAUCGGUCUGUGACACCUAUUUUCUGGGGGAAACGUGUAUUGUAAACCUAAAAGUGCUUUAUUGUAAUCAGUUGUGUGAUAGGAAGUCACAUCUAGUACUCCAGCAGCAUUGGGGGACGAUCUCGUGUUUGACAAUAAAACAUAUACAGUGACCUUAUUGGGACAGCACUUUGGAUUUGAAAUGAUACAAUCACUAUGAGGUUAAGUUGCAGACGGCCGCUUUAAUUUGAGAGUAUUUUCAUUCAUAUCAGGUGAACCGCUUUGAAAUUAGUGGGGGUUUUGUACAUAGCUCCCCCUUUUGUAGGGGACCAAAAGUAUUGGGACAAAUUCAGUUGUGUAUUAAAGUAGUCAAAAGUUUAGUAUUUUGUCCCAUAUUCCUAGCACUCAAUGACUACAUCAAGCUUGUGACUCAAACUUGUUGGAUGCAUUUGCUGUUAGUUUUGGUUGUGUUUCAGAUUCAUUUUCUGCCCAAUAGAAAUUAAUGGUAAAUAAUGCACUGUGUCAAUUUGGUAUCACUUUUAUUGUAAAUAAGAAUAGAAUGUUCCUAACACUUCAACAUGAUUAUGGAUGUGACCAUGAUUAUGGAUGGCCCUGAAUGAAUCGUGAGUAAUGAUGAGGUUAAAGUGCAGACUGUCAGCUUUAAUUUGAGGGUAUUUUCCACAUGUGGAUGAUACCAUGAUUACGUAUGGUCCUGAAUUAAUCAUGAAUAAUGAUGAGUGAGAAAGUUAGACGCACAAAUAUCAUACCCCUAACAAAUGCUAACAAUAAUAAUACAAUAAUGGGAGGUUAGCACUUUUCUUUGGGGG
rnacentral:lncRNA from 1 species